rnacentral:rRNA from 1 species
GACGAACGCUGGCGGCGUGCUUAACACAUGCAAGUCGAACGGAAAGGCCCUGCUUUUGUGGGGUGCUCGAGUGGCGAACGGGUGAGUAACACGUGAGUAACCUGCCCUUGACUUUGGGAUAACUUCAGGAAACUGGGGCUAAUACCGGAUAGGAGCUCCUGCUGCAUGGUGGGGUUGGAAAGUUUCGGCGGUUGGGGAUGGACUCGCGGCUUAUCAGCUUGUUGGUGGGGUAGUGGCUUACCAAGGCUUUGACGGGUAGCCGGCCUGAGGGGGUGACCGGCCACAUUGGGACGGAGAAACGGCCCGGACCCCGAGGGGGGGAAGCGGGGGGGAAUUUUGCCCAAGGGGGGGAGGCCUGUGGCGGCAACGCGGGGGGGGGGAUGAGGGCCUUGGGGUUGAAAACCGCUUUCCCCGGGGCCGAGGGGGGGGGGACGGUAAGGGGUAAAGAAGCCCCGGCUAACUACGU